UAUACAACAAUAAAAUACUCCCUCCGUUCCUAAACAUUUAUCUUUGUAGAGAUUUCAAAUGGAUUAGCACAUACGGAUGUAUGUAGACAUAUUUUAGAGUGUAAAUUUACUUAUUUUAGAGGGUAAACUGGGAAUGGCCGCAACAGCCGAAGCCACCACUGUCACGUGUUCUGUGUUCCCUUGAUCCCAUCGGAAGGUAGCUGACUGAACCACCCGCUCAGUCUUCACUGUCGCUCUGAAGCCUGAGCCCUCUCUUCCCCGGCGGCGCGCGGCACCCUCCCGGCGAGGCGAGUCGCCGGAGCCCGCCCCCCACUCCUCCUCCCCUGCGCUCCGUCCGGAUGGGUAAGCACCCGCGCUCCUCCCACGAAUCGAACCCCCACCAAAACUUCCUCCUUCUGAUCCGUGUACCGUAGGAUCGUUCCUUCGCGCGGCUGAUUUCCAGUGCAGAGCCCAGGUAGGUAGGCGCUGUUCCCCCGACCUUAUCGCCCCCCUGACUUGCCCGGCUCUCACGGCGCUCCAUCGGGCAGCUCCCCAGGCUGCUUAGACCGGCGGCCUGCGGCGGCGGCGGGGCGAGGCCGAGCGCCGGAUCCGGCAUGGAGAGAGCGGGGCUCCUCGCGCCGUCCCCCCCGAGGGCGCGGGCCACGGCCCGGGUCGCCAUGGUCUCUAGCUUCGCCACGGAGCUGCUCGAGAUCAGAUCCAGGGAGCCGUCCCCGUCGCUCCACGUGCUGGUCGUCCCCGGCAAUCCAGGUAUUGUUGGAUUCUACAGGGACUUUGUCCAAGCCCUCUAUGAAAACCUCGGUGGGCAGGCAUCUGUCACGGCGAUAGGGCACAUUUCACAUGGGCAGAAGGAUUACGAGCACGGACGAUUGUUUUCAUUACACGAACAGAUUGAGCACAAGAUUGAUUUUCUUGAGCAAGAACUUCUACAUACCGAACAGUCCAUAAUUGUGGUGGGUCAUUCUAUUGGCGCGUACAUAGGUCUGGAGAUAUGCAAAAGAUUCCAGAAGAAGGUAAUUUUUUUUGUGGGGCUUUAUCCAUUUUUGACAUUGAACAAGAAUGCUAUGAAGCAAUCAGCAAUUGGAUAUGUUGCAAGGUCAUCUCUCCUUAGUAAAGGGGUUAGUUUGUUAGUGUCUUUGAUCGGCUCACUCCAGGCUUCAGUUACGAGGAGCAUUGUGAAAAGGUUCCUUGGAUCUUCUUGGUCUCCAACAGCCAUUGAUGCUGGAUGUAGCCAUCUCUUGCAGUACCAUACGAUGCGCAAUGUGCUUUUCAUGGCAAAGACAGAGUUUCAAAAGCUUCAUGAAGAGCCGGACUGGAAUUUCAUCAGAGCAAAACAGGCUCAAAUUGCUUUUCUGUUCGGUGUGGAUGAUCACUGGGGUCCACUGACUCACUUGGAAGAGAUCUCAAGGCAUGCUCCAGGGGUUGCCUUGUCGGUUGAGAAAGAAGGUCAUACACACGGCUACUGCUGCACGGAGGCUGGAUCCUUCUGGGUUGCUGACUACGUCGCAAACUUGAUUAAAAACCAAAUGCUCAUCGGAGAUAGCUGAUGGCAGACAAUUAUCUUCUUUUGAUGAAGUAAUAUAGAAGUGUGAUGCUGGAUUCUAAAUACUAGUGUCUAUCUUGCAUAUGCUAGUCCAGGAUGACAGAUCUCAAAAGUCACAUGCUGAAUACUGCUAUCUAACUUGGCCUUCAUGCAAUAUGUUUUCGUCCUCCUUUCCCUGAUGAACCUGACAAGCAACAACCGCCUCAUUAUUCUUACUGCAUAAAUCAUAUGUGUGUUGAUUGACUAGUUUUCGGAGAUGCUUCUAUAUUGAUUGACUCAUUUUGUUGAAAUAGUGCAGUGUACGUAAAGAACAAUUCUUGGGAUGAUAAGAAUCACAUCUUUAGAAUCAUAGCAACAUUACAUAUUACAUUUAUGUUUUCCUUAGCUAUAGCUUUGACUUUUUGUACAUAAUUUUUCCCAUCCACUGUAUGUUGAUGUAUUGGGGACGGUAACUAUUGCCAUGAUCUUGAUUUAGA
rnacentral:rRNA from 1 species